rnacentral:pre_miRNA from 14 species
AUACACAUACACAUACGUAUGUGUGUGUAUAUAUAUAUACACACAUGUACGUAUGUGUAUGUGUAUG